rnacentral:rRNA from 1 species
CAGGCCUAACACAUGCMAGUCGAGGGGCAGCAUGAUCUUAGCUUGCUAAGAUUGAUGGCGACCGGCGCACGGGUGAGUAACGCGUAUCCAACCUUCCCCUUAGUAGGGCAUAGCCCGUAGAAAUGCGGAUUAWUACCCUAUGUUGUAUAUUGAGGACAUCUGAUUUAUACCAAAGGUUCACCGCUAAGGGAUGGGGAUGCGUCUGAUUAGGUAGUCGGCGGGGUAACGGCCCACCGAGCCUACGAUCAGUAGGGGUUCUGAGAGGAAGGUCCCCCACAUUGGAACUGAGACACGGUCCAAACUCCUACGGGAGGCGGCAGUGAGGAAUAUUGGUCAAUGGACGAGAGUCUGAACCAGCCAAGUAGCGUGCGGGAUGACGGCCCUAUGGGUUGUAAACUGCUUUUAUACGGGGAUAAAGUGAGGGACGUGUCCCUUUUUGUAGGUACCGUAUGAAUAAGGACCGGCUAAUUCCGUGCCAGCAGCCGCGGUAAUACGGAAGGUCCGGGCGUUAUCCGGAUUUAUUGGGUUUAAAGGGAGCGCAGGCCGAUGGUUAAGCGUGACGUGAAAUGUAGCCGCUCAACGGCUGAACUGCGUCGCGAACUGGCUGUCUUGAGUGAGUUCGAUGUGGGCGGAAUUCGUGGUGUAGCGGUGAAAUGCUUAGAUAUCACGAAGAACUCCGAUUGCGAAGGCAGCUGGCGAGGCUACAACUGACGCUAAAGCUCGAAGGUGCGGGUAUCGAACAGGAUUAGAUACCCUGGUAGUCCGCACGGUAAACGAUGGAUGCCCGCUGUAUGCGAUAUAAUGUAUGCGGCCAAGCGAAAGCGUUAAGCAUCCCACCUGGGGAGUACGCCGGCAACGGUGAAACUCAAAGGAAUUGACGGGGGCCCGCACAAGCGGAGGAACAUGUGGUUUAAUUCGAUGAUACGCGAGGAACCUUACCCGGGCUUGAACUGCAGGAGAAGGAUACAGAGAUGUUGACGCCCUUCGGGGCUCCUGUGGAGGUGCUGCAUGGUUGUCGUCAGCUCGUGCCGUGAGGUGUCGGCUUAAGUGCCAUAACGAGCGCAACCCUUGCUGUCAGUUGCCAUCAGGUAAUGCUGGGCACUCUGGCGGUACUGCCACCGUAAGGUGUGAGGAAGGUGGGGAUGACGUCAAAUCAUCAUGCCCCUUAUGACCUGGGCUACACACGUGCUACAAUGGCCACCACAGAGAGGAGCGAACCUGCGAGGGGGAGCGGAUCUCAAAAAAGUGGUCCCAGUUCGGAUUGUGGGCUGCAACCCGCCCACAUGAAGUCGGAGUUGCUAGUAAUCGCGGAUCAGCAUGCCGCGGUGAAUACGUUCCCGG